AACGAACGCUGGCGGCAUGCCUAACACAUGCAAGUCGAACGAGACCUUCGGGUCUAGUGGCGCACGGGUGCGUAACGCGUGGGAAUCUGCCCUUGGGUUCGGAAUAACAGUUGGAAACGACUGCUAAUACCGGAUGAUGACGUAAGUCCAAAGAUUUAUCGCCCAGGGGUGAGCCCGCGUAGGAUUAGCUAGUUGGUGGGGUAAAGGCCUACCAAGGCGACGAUCCUUAGCUGGUCUGAGAGGAUGAUCAGCCACACUGGGACUGAGACACGGCCCAGACUCCUACGGGAGGCAGCAGUGGGGAAUAUUGGACAAUGGGCGAAAGCCUGAUCCAGCAAUGCCGCGUGAGUGAUGAAGGCCUUAGGGUUGUAAAGCUCUUUUACCCGGGAUGAUAAUGACAGUACCGGGAGAAUAAGCCCCGGCUAACUCCGUG
rnacentral:rRNA from 1 species